rnacentral:rRNA from 1 species
GACGAACGCUGGCGGCGUGCUUAACACAUGCAAGUCGAACGGAAAGGCCCUGCUUGCAGGGUACUCGAGUGGCGAACGGGUGAGUAACACGUGGGUGUUCUGCCCUGCACUUCGGGAUAAGCCUGGGAAACUGGGUCUAAUACCGGAUAGGAGCCAUUUUUAGUGUGAUGGUUGGAAAGUUUUUUCGGUGUAGGAUGAGCUCGCGGCCUAUCAGCUUGUUGGUGGGGUAAUGGCCUACCAAGGCGGCGACGGGUAGCCGGCCUGAGAGGGUGGACGGCCACAUUGGGACUGAGAUACGGCCCAGACUCCUACGGGAGGCAGCAGUGGGGAAUAUUGCACAAUGGGCGCAAGCCUGAUGCAGCGACGCCGCGUGGGGGAUGACGGCCUUCGGGUUGUAAACUCCUUUCGCUAGGGACGAAGCUUUUUGUGACGGUACCUAGAUAAGAAGCACCGGCUAACUACGUG